AGUGGAAGAGAUUCCUGUAUUGGCAAAUGAGGCAGGAGUGGAGGAAAUAUUACCAUGACGUGCAAGAGCUCUGGAGAUAAGAUCCUCAAUAUUAGCAAUAGUAAAGACAGUAGUAGAACUCUAAGAAUCAAAUUCAGAACUGACGGAAUCAAAAGUUUGUAAGGUAGGAGUUGGUGUAGCUGGCACAACCAGUGAUGCCAUGGAUCAGGAUGUAGAGCUAGAGCCAAAAAAUUUUCCUCUUUGUUUCUUCUUUGGACAAUAAGAUUUUGUGUGUCUAAGUUUAUGACAGUAGUUGCAUUUUACUUGUGCCCAGUCUACUGUCCCAUCUUUCUUACGUAGUA
rnacentral:lncRNA from 1 species